rnacentral:rRNA from 1 species
UACAGAGGGUGCAAGCGUUAAUCGGAAUUACUGGGCGUAAAGCGCGCGUAGUCGGUUAUUUAAGUCGGGUGUGAAAGCCCCGGGCUCAACCUGGGAAUUGCAUUCGAUACUGGAUAGCUAGAGUUCGGCAGAGGGAAGCGGAAUUUCCGGUGUAGCGGUGAAAUGCGUAGAUAUCGGAAGGAACAUCAGUGGCGAAAGCGGCUUCCUGGACCAGAACUGACGAUCAGGCACGAAAGCGUGGGGAACAAACAGG